rnacentral:rRNA from 1 species
GAUGAACGCUGGCGGCGUGCCUAAUACAUGCAAGUCGAGCGAACAGACGAGGAGCUUGCUCCUCUGACGUUAGCGGCGGACGGGUGAGUAACACGUGGAUAACCUACCUAUAAGACUGGGAUAACUUCGGGAAACCGGAGCUAAUACCGGAUAAUAUAUUGAACCGCAUGGUUCAAUAGUGAAAGACGGUUUUGCUGUCACUUAUAGAUGGUUCCGCGCCGCAUUAGCUAGUUGGUAAGGUAACGGCUUACCAAGGCAACGAUGCGUAGCUGACCUGAGAGGGUGAUCGGCCACACUGGAACUGAGACACGGUCCAGACUCCUACGGGAGGCAGAAGUAGGGAAUCUUCCGCAAUGGGCGAAAGCUUGACGGAGCAACGCCGCGUGAGUGAUGAAGGUCUUCGGAUCGUAAAACUCUGUUAUUAGGGAAGAACAAAUGUGUAAGUAACUAUGCACGUCUUGACGGUACCUAAUCAGAAAGCCACGGCUAACUACGUG